UUUAUUUUUUAUUUCUCUGUUUAGUUUUUCUACACUUCUUUGCAUUAAGUAGAGCCACCAAUGCUUUUUGUAAAACAAGAAACUUGCCAGAUCAAAUACUAGGCAUUAUUUAGUAUUGCCACAAAAAGGUUGGGUGAUCAUUUGAAUUCAUUUGGAUUUUUCAUAAAUGAAAAUGGAUUAAUGGGGCUGUUUUGGUCACUGAUUUAAUUAUUUUAGGGUAUUCAAAUACUUCUAGAAAUGUUGGUUUCUCCACCAUUAUUACUUAGGAUUUAUUUGUCACAUUUAGCACAUUUUAGUUUUUUAUGUUUGAAAACUUUUAUCGUUUAACUUUAUUUUAAAUUUGAAUUCAAACGGGACUUGAUUCACCGCGAGACUAACAACGGUAACCGUGGUGACGUGGCAUCAUUAGUAGAGGGUUACUGUAGCUUAACUAUCCGGGCGUCACAAUUCUCCUCCACUACAAGAAAUCUCGUCCCGAGAUUUAAGGGGGAAGUAAGGGGAAGGGAUUUAGUUAGGAAUUCUAACGAGUCUUCUCGGUCUUGUUUGCUCUUCUUGAAGAGGUCGAUCCAUACGUUCAUGCUUUUUUUUCUCUCUUUUUUUUGGCUCCAGGUCAUCAUGAUGAAGUCGGCAUCCUUUCUUCGGGAACUCCAUCGUACUUACGAAAGAAUAAAGGGUGGGUAUAUUCCGGGAGAACGGACCUCUGCAAGGUUGACUAUCUGGUAGCUAACAACAGGGAAGGUGGCGGAAAGUAACCCUCGAACUGAAACUUAAGAAAAUAUCGAGAGUAAGUAAGCAGGUACCAUGAGAAGUUUCAAGCAGGUAGGCAAUCGUUCGAUGCCUGAACAAAGUGUGAAAGGGUUCUAGAGCAACGAGAAUAAGUAUUGCGUCUGAUACCAGAAUAGAGCACUAGGAAGGUGGCCCGUGAAUUAAAUAUGAAGCCAAACGUGAGGAAUAACCAAUAGAAACAAGGUUGUACAGGAGAGUCAGGUUUCGAUCAUGUGGAACUGUGGGUUAUGGGCCCACCACGCGGUUAAAAUAGAAAGGGGGGCAGACAUCUUGCACGGUCAUGAUAGCAAGGCAUGUCAGAGGCUAGCCUGUCAGUUAUGUCGGCAACAACAUCGAUACCAAGGGCGAGGGACGGAGAGAACCAUUUUCCUGCUCGUUGAACGAGGCAGACCAAUAGGCAAAGUUCUCGUCCAUCGGUGGUUACCGGGAUGCUAUCAACAAUGGUAGCAUGGUCUUACUGACAGAGUUGUACAACGAGGUGCUUACUAAGCAGGGAAUUAUCACUGCUCAGUUAAGUCAGAUUACAAGAAAGCUUAAACAAGACAAUGGAAAGGAAAAUGCGAUUAUCAGGUUUAAACAGAACAAUGGAAAUGAAAAUGUGUAUACACACAUAUUUCGGGGGUAUAUCCUUCCCAAGGACAAGCGGAGCAUGAUAUCCAUGACAGGAUAGAAAGUAGAAAACCAUUUAGGUAAGGGGGGAAUCUCAUGAUAUUACCCAUACAACGGUGUUAGGAUAAAUGAUAAAGAAAAUUUAGCAUUGUGCUUCAAAUGCUCUUAUUGAAAAUCGGAUUACCACAGACAUGCUUCGAGAUAGCAUUGACAUGCUCAUCAAUUAAGGUUCAGAAUUUGGAUGCACAAAGGAUCCAUCAGGAACAACUUGUAGAAUAAGUUUUACAAUUUCCUCAUGAAAGAAUGGAUAACCUUGCUGAAAAGGAAACUAUAACAAUAGUCCUCCAAUCAGGUGUGCUAGGCAUGACAUCACCUUACCGGGUCAUAUAAGACCAACGUUAUAACUCUUGGAUAUAUGUUCCAACCAUCAUAUCUGACCGAGAUUUAGAUCUGAUUGGUGUCAGAAUACCUCAGACUCAGGAUGUCUAAGAAGAAAGGUAAAACACAAAUUGACGGAAUGACAUUGUAAGAUUCUCGGGAAUGAACUAUGGAAGCGAGUUCCGAAACAAGAGUUCAUCAGUAAACCAAGGAGAGGAUGAGGAGGUGGCUGAUGGACUCAGCAACAAUUCAUCGAGAAUUGCAAAGGAUGGAUUUCCACAAUUAUGUGAACAAGGAGAUAGCAUUUGUCAGAUCAAAUGAUAUAGUGAGAUAUGCUCGAGGAAAACAUACCCAAUUAAACAUCAGUUGAAAGGUGCAGCCGAAAUAUGGGCUUAUGUAGCAUGACUGAUGUUAGAAUGGUGAUUCGAUAACCAAUGCACAAGGAAUGAAACUAUCGUUCAUUAUCUUACAAGCAAUAAGGUUGCUAGUAAUUUUGGAUUCACACAUCAUAGUUAAAUGGCUGGUAUCCUGGUUAGAAUCAACACGCGGACCAAGAUAUGAACGGAGAUGGCAAGAAGUAUUACUAUAUCAAGAAUUAUUAAGAGGUGGUGAAAUUCUCACAACCUUCUUGACAUAAAAGAUGGUAAUACUCCAAGGUAGAACAUAACAUAAGUUGGAUAGCAAGGAUCUCAAGGUACAACACAAAACAUGAACAAGUUUGUGUUGGAGGGAAAGCAAUAAUGUUGUCGAUGAUAACACAACUCAUUGAGGGGCAAGGAUGGUACUUGCCAUCAUGAAUUUGAUUGAUAUACUGGAAGGAGUCAAAAUGUGAUGAUCAUGACAAAUUUUUUCGAGAGGCUCCACGAAGAAGCAAUCGAACAACGACUGCAUCAAGCAAAAGGAGUGUUGUAGCAAAAGAUUUUUGGAACCACGGAUACGUCUCCAACUCGAAAUCGAGCUUGCUGUUCGAGGUGAAACGAUAAGACAAGGAAGAUCGACGUAAGCUUAGCUCAUCGCCCAAAGUGGUGCUCUGGAAAUAAGGACCAGGUAGCACAGUUCAAAUCAGCACGAUACUGAUAUAGCCGACCAGGCUAGAAAUGACGUGAUCGAGUACAAACUCGUAAGUAAAGAAGAUUACUAAUAGUUGUUUAAUCACGAUGCGGACUCGAUUCAGUUAUCGGUGUCCUUGAGUGUUUAAUGACCCAGAGCCCGUGAAAAAAAUUGAAAUCAGUGAGAAUGUAUUACUUGAUGGAGAACUCAUAAGAUGUUAUGUAGUUCCGUGAUAUUCUCGAGAUACCAUAGGGGAAUACUCGAAGGUUGAGCAGAAUCGAGGUUGGGCAGGCACAUUGAUCUGCAUAAGACAAGCGAUUUAACUUUUCCGAGAAAUGGGACCAAAGAAAAACAAUCAUGGUCGGAACCACGGUUGCAAAGGACCAAGCAUAGGUAAGAGAAGAAGUUAUCACAAGGGGAUUAUUAUUACUACAAGAAGCUUCCAUGAUAAGUUCCACCUCGGGUCCAUGGGCAUGAACACAAAGUUCAAGGUCGACUCCCACUACUCCAAAGCAUAACCUUACAUUCACUUCUCGUUUCGAUAAUGGCAUUAGUGUUGAAAGUCUUACCUGGUGAAAUACCAGAUGAGUAUGACCCGUGAAAACUUCCGAGUUCACACAUAUUAAGGAAGGCAUAGGUUCAACCCGUCAGGGUAUCGUGGAAACAUAUACCACAAGUUUCAAUAGUAAAAGCCACCAGCUCGAAAACAGAGCAUGGUUGAGAAAAUAGAGGAUACAAUUUACCCAAGGCUUUAUAUAUCCGUGGAAAGGCUCACAAGGUUAUUUGAAUAUGAAGGACACUGUCGGAUAAUAAUCCAACAAGAGGUCCGGUGGUCUACAACGGAGCUGAUGUGAGUAUCGGUACUCUAUCAAAGGAAGAAGGAAUGCAAGUGCAUCGGAUUAUAGAAACAACUGACUAACUCAAAGCUUAAAUGCAAAGGAAUUAUGAAUUCCAAGACAAGGGAUCAGAAGCAAUGCUCUGAUUAGGGAUGGAUAAGUCGGGUAGACUUAGGGGUACAAUUGAUGACAAUUUGUUUGGUCGAGAUCCAGCUCAUGUUUAAAAUGAUGUCUGAGCCGGAAGGGUGAAUUCUAUGAUUCGGUUGAGGAUUGUAAGCAACCGCAACAUACUGAAUCAACAGAUUAAAAAUGAUAAUGACAAAGGAUGUCAAUAAGAUUACUAGACUUAUGGGAUUGACCAUAAUGCAAGUAAGCAAGAAUUUCAAGAGCAAAAGGCUCCUGAGGAUUUUCGGAAGAUCGAAUGGUAUUUUGAAGACUUUUGUAAAACACAUGAACAACUAGGGAUGAGCGAUUACUCGACAAGUGCGAGGAUUUAUCCGUAGGGGUAUUCACGUGACAAAGAACUGCAAGUCGGUAGGCACCAAGUAUUCUCGGAACAAUAGAGAGUAUUUCGGGGUAUCUGGUAAUAAGAAGAUCAUCGGGGGAUGAUUGUAUGAAUGACAAAUGUACGUGGUCAUCCAUAGGGGUUUAUUGAUGGAUGGGAAUUGCAAAAGCGACGGGCACAAGGCCUCGAGAGAACAUCGAAGAGUAUCUUUGAAAUCUUCUGGGCACUAAGCAAUCAUCUGGAGUGAGGGGCUCUCCGGGAGUAAGUAGUUACGAGAACCUACAGUCAGAGUUAGUAAAAAAUCAUUUAACCCGAAUAGAAGAGAGAUCAGAGUCCCGGAGUAUAGACAAGGAGUAAAAGAUCCUAAUACCACCCGAUGGCGACGUGGGCCCGUAAGCCACACAGCCAUGUUAGUAAAAGUUUUGCAAUGUCUAGACUCGACUUCGACCAAGAAGUAUGGAAGGGGGAUUCCUACAGGCAGUCGGCUCUGAUACCAACUUGUAACGCCCCCGAUUCAAUCGUACACUAAUCAUGCACGCAAACGUGUACGAUCAAGAUCAGGGACUCACGGGAAGAUAUCACAACACAACUCUAAAACAUAAAUAAGUCAUACAAGCAUCAUAAUACAAGCCAGGGGCCUCGAGGGCUUGAAUACAAGUGCUCAAUCAUAGACGAGUCAGCGGAAGCAACAAUAUCUGAGUACAAACAUAAGUUAAACAAGUUUGCUUUAAGAAGGCUAGCACAAACUGGGAUACAGAUCGAAAGAGGCGCAAGCCUCCUGCCUGGGAUCCUCCUAAACUACUCCUGGUCGUUGUCAGCGGCCUGCACGUAGUAGUAGGCACCUCCAGUGUAGUAAGAGUCACCGUCAACGGUGGCGUCUGGCUCCUGGGCUCCAACAUCUGGUUGCGACAACCAGGUAGAAGGGAAAGGGGGAAAAGAGGGAGAAAAGCAACCGUGAGUACUCAUCCAAAGUACUAGCAAGCAAGGAGCUACACUACAUAUGCAUGGGUAUAUGUGUAAAGGGCCAUAUCGGUGGACUGAACUGCAGAAUGCCAGAAUAAGAGGGGGAUAGCUAAUCCUGUCGAAGACUACGCUUCUGGCCACCUCCAUCUUGCAGCAUGUAGGAGAGAGUAGAUGGUAAGUUCACCAAGUAGCAUCGUAUAGCAUAAUCCUACCCGGCGAUCCCCUCCUCGUCGCCCUGUUAGAGAGCGAUCACCGGGUUAUAUCUGGCACUUGGAAGGGUGUGUUUUAUUAAGUAACCAGUUCUAGUUGUCAUAAGGUCAAGGUACAACUCCGGGUUGUCCUUUUACCGAGGGACACGGCUAUUCGAAUAGAUAAACUUCCCUGCAGGGGUGCACCACAUAACCCAACACGCUCGAUCCCAUUUGGCCAGACACACUUUUCUGGGUCAUGCCCGGCCUCAGAAGAUCAACAUGUCGCAGCCCUACCUAGGCACAAUAGAGAGGUCAGCACGCCGGUCUAAAUCCUAUGGCGCAGGGGUCUGGGCCCAUCGCCCAUUGCACACCUGCACGUUGCGAGGGCGGCCAAAAGCAGACCUAGCCUAGCAGGCGUUCCAGUCCAAUCCGGCGCGCGCCGCUCAGUCGCUGACGUCACGAAGGCUUCGGCUGAUACCACGACGCCGAGUGCCCAUAACUGUUCCCGCGUAGUUGGUUAGUGCGUAUAGACUACCAAGAUCUCGUUAAGCGUGUUAAGUAUCCGCGAACGCCGACCAGGGCCAGGCCCACCUCUCUCCUAGGUGGUCUCAACCUGCCCUGUCGCUCUGCCACAAAGUAACAGUCGGGGGCCGUCAGGAACCUAGGCCCACCUCUACCGGGAUGGACCACCUGUCCUUUCAGCCCCCUCAUCAGAACCACUUGCGGGUACUCAACGAGCUGACCCGACUUUAGUCACCACAUGUGUCAUGUAUAUAAAGUAUAUAGAAUAUACCCAUGAUCACCUCCCGAAGUGAUCACGGCCUAGUAGUAUAGCAUGGCAGACGGACAAGAGUGUAGGGCCAUUGAUGGAACACUAGCAUCCUAUACUAAGAAGUAGGAUAGCAGGUAAGGGUAACAACUGUAGCAACAAUGACAGGCUAUGCAACAGAAUAGGAUUAACCGAAAUUAGUAACAUGCUACACUACUCUAAUGCAAGUAGUAUAGAGAAGAAUAGGCGAUAUCUGGUGAUCAAGGGGGGGGGCUUGCCUGGUUGCUCUGGCAAGGAGGGGUCAUCAACACUGUAGUUGAAAUGGGGGUCGCCGGUAGUCUCAGGGUCUACCGAAAAGAAGUAACGGAGGGGGAACACAAUAAAUAACAGAGCAAUCAAAAGCAUCACAAAGCAAGACAUGGCAAUACAUAGUGCUAGGGGUGACCUAACGCAAUGCUAGGAGAUAUAGGUGAAGGGGAAAACAUCCGGGAAAGUAUCCCCGGUGUUUCGCGUUUUCGGACAGUUGAACCGGAGGGGGAAAGUUGCGUGUUUGCUAUUCUAGCGAUGUGUGGCGGACAAACGGGCUGCGUAUCCGGAUUCGUCUCGUCAUUCUGAGCAACUUUCAUGUACAAGGUAUUUUCAUCCGAGUUACGGUUUAUUUUCUAUUAAUUUUCAAAGUUAUAAUAAUUGUUUGAAUUUAUUAUUAAUCCGAAUUACAACAGUAAGCUGCUAUGUGUACCCGUUAUGGACUAGUCACAUUGGCUUACAGGUGGGGGCAGUGGGCCUGGUUGACCCAGUCAACAAUUGAUUGGUCGACAGGUGAAUAGUAACAGGGGUCCCGCAUGUCAUAGGCUUGGCCAUUUUCAAAUAGAUUUAACCUUCUAAUUAUCAGCAGGGUCCACUUGUCAUAGGAUACAACUAAAACAAAACUAAAAUAGUCUAACAGGAGCUUGUUUUAGUUGGGGAUUAGCACCUAAUCUAAACAAAGGGGCCGGCCCCAACAUGCAUUAGCCCAAGGCCAUGGCUGUGACGCACGCACGGGCACAGAGGCCACGGCGGCCAAAGCUAGCAGCGGCAGUAAGCUAAGAAGCAGCAACGCUAGGAGCGCCGGCGGCGUUAGCAUCAGAAGCAAUGCGGGCAGCAGCGGCAAGGCAACACCCGACCAGGCGCGCGCGCAGCAAGCAGCAGUGCAGCAGGAGCAGCAGCUACGGAAGCAGGGGCACAGCCUAGGCGGACAUACGCGCACGAGGGCGCAGCCUGGUGUGCGCCCGGUGCGACAAAGGGACGGCCAGGGGGCACACGGGAGCGGGGCAGGAGCAGCAUGCGGAGGGGGGAAGGCGACCGACUAGCAGGGCGCGCGGGAGCACAGCCACGGGCGCCCGCGGCCACGGCGACCUUUAACUACGGCGGAACGGCGACGGAUCGGAGGGGGAACGAGGGGAAUGGGAGUGGUGCUCACGAGGGGAGGCGGAGGAUGCGGCCGGCGUGGCGGAGGAGCUCCGGUGAGGUAGAUCGGGCGUCGGGCAGCGACGGCCGUUGGCGAGGAAGAUGCGUCGAUCCCGUCUGUGAGGUGCCGCCGAGCUCGAGGUGGUGGUCGGAGAGGACGAGGCGGACGACGGCGAGGCUCCUGGCGCGGUCCUAGGCGGUGGGGGCGAUAGUGAGCACGUAGACGGCGGCGGCCAUGAUGACGGUGGCGGCAGUCUAAUGCGGGGGACGAAGAGAGUGGCGCGUGGGGGACGAAUGAGGUAGCUAGGGUUCCGUCGGGGGUGUCGAGGUGCGGCGUUAUCCACCCAGGGAGCCGCGGGAUGGCCGACAGCGCAACAUCCAAGACGUGGACGGCGUGCGAGCAUUGCCAGCGCCAUGGCCUCCCUCUUCUGUUCAAGUGGUAGGAAAAAAGCCCACUGGUGGGUUGGGCCUUCUGUAGUACUGGGCUUUUAGGUGAACAGUGUUAGGCUUUAACUUUUCUUCUCUUUUAUUUUUUUAUUUCUCUGUUUAGUUUUUCUACACUUCUUUGCAUUAAGUAGAGGCACCAAUGCUUUUUGUAAAACAAGAAACUUGCCAGAUCAAAUACUAGGCAUUAUUUAGUAUUGCCACAAAAAGGUUGGGUGAUCAUUUGAAUUCAUUUGGAUUUUUCAUAAAUGAAAAUGGAUUAAUGGGGCUGUUAUGGUCACUGAUUUAAUUAUUUUAGGGUAUUCAAAUACAUCUAAAAAUGUUGGUUUCUCCACCAUUAUUAUUUAGGAUUUAUUUGUCACAUUUAGCACAUUUUAGUUUUUUUAUGUUUGAAAACUUUUAUCGUUUAACUUUAUUUUAAAUUUGAAUUCAAACGGG
rnacentral:lncRNA from 1 species